rnacentral:rRNA from 1 species
CUCCUGGGAAGUCCUUGUGUUGCACCCU